rnacentral:lncRNA from 1 species
AUUGUUGAAUUAUGUGAAAUCUUGCUUGAGAAUGCAUUGAACACCUAAUUAUGGAAGAUAAAAGGAAUUUUCAACAAUAAAUCAUAAUUACUUUAAUAAAAUCAUAUAUAAUUUGCUAAAAAGGCUUAAUAACCAUAAUCAAGCAUCAAUUAAGUUUAAUUAUUUAUUUAUAUUAUUUUUUAUUUUUUUAUUUUAAAAAUAAAUUAUAAAAAAAAAAUACAAAGAAAUUCUUAAAAAAUCCUAAAGAAAUCCUAAAGAAAUCUAAACUAAAACCUAACUCUAACCAAAUCCUAAACCUAAUGAAAUCCUAACUCUAACCAAAUCUUAAUCAAAUUCUAAUUAGAUCCUAACCAAAUUCUAGUCAAAUUCUAAUCAAAUCUUAAUCAAAUCUUAAACAAAUCCUAACAAAAAUCAAAUCUUAAAUCAACCCAAAAUCCUAAUCCUAAUCCUAAACUAAAUCCUAAUCAAAAUCAAACCUUAAAUAAUCAAAAUCUUAAUCCUAACCUUAAACUAAAUCCUAAAUUGAAUCCUAACUAAUCCCAAGUAAUUCCAAUAGAAGAUUUAAACGUCAAUAACUAAUGAAUAAAUCAUUGAUUUUAACUCAAAUUUUACAAAUCUCUUAACAAUUAAGUUGAAAAGAAGCAAAAAAAAAUUUACAAAAGAUUGGAAUUACCAAAUACACAAUAACCUUAAA